GGCUGUGGUUCAGUGGCAGAGCAUCUUCCUUGCAUGCAAAAGGUCCCCGGUUCAAUCCCAGGUAGGGCCG